rnacentral:tRNA from 1 species
GCAUUGGUGGUUCAGUGGUAGAAUUCUCACCUUCCACGCAGGAGACCUGGUUCAAUUCCAGGCCAGUGCU